AUUUAAAUAGCUUAUAAUUUAGAGCAUAAUAUUGAAGAUAUUAAGGAGAUAGUUUAUCUUUAAAUA
rnacentral:tRNA from 1 species